rnacentral:rRNA from 1 species
GUGGGGAAUUUUGGACAAUGGGCGCAAGCCUGAUCCAGCAAUGCCGCGUGCAGGAAGAAGGCCUUCGGGUUGUAAACUGCUUAUGUACGGAACGAAACGGUCCGGGUUAAUACCCUGGGCUAAUGACGGUACCGUAAGAAUAAGCACCGGCUAACUACGUGCCAGCAGCCGCGGUAAUACGUAGGGUGCAAGCGUUAAUCGGAAUUACUGGGCGUAAAGCGUGCGCAGGCGGUUUUGUAAGACAGGCGUGAAAUCCCCGGGCUCAACCUGGGAAUUGCGCUUGUGACUGCAAGGCUGGAGUGCGGCAGAGGGGGAUGGAAUUCCGCGUGUAGCAGUGAAAUGCGUAGAUAUGCGGAGGAACACCUAUGGCGAAGGCAAUCCCCUGGGCCUGCACUGACGCUCAUGCACGAAAGCGUGGGGAGCAAACAGGAUUAGAAACCCGAGUAGUCC